CAGCCGCCACGGGAAUACAGAGGGUGCAAGCGUUAAUCGGAAUUACUGGGCGUAAAGCGCGCGUAGGUGGUUUGUUAAGUUGGAUGUGAAAUCCCCGGGCUCAACCUGGGAACUGCAUCCAAAACUGUCAAGCUAGAGUAUGGUAGAGGGUGGUGGAAUUUCCUGUGUAGCGGUGAAAUGCGUAGAUAUGCGGAGGAACACCGAUGGCGAAGGCAAUCCCCUGGGCCUGUACUGACGCUGAGGUACGAAAGCAUGGGGAGCAAACAGGAUUAGAUACCCCCGUAGUCCCUGUCUCUUAUAC
rnacentral:rRNA from 1 species